UCUCUGGUGGUUCAGUGGUUAGGACUCUGCGCUUUCACUGCUGUGGGCCUGGGUUCAAUCCCUGGUCGUGGAA
rnacentral:tRNA from 1 species